rnacentral:rRNA from 1 species
AGAGUUUGAUCCUGGCUCAGGAUGCAUGCUAGCGACAGGCUUAACACAUGCAAGUCGAGGGGCAGCGGAGGCGAGUGCUUGCACUUGCCAGACGGCGACCGGCGCACGGGUGAGUAACACGUAUGCGACCUGCCCGUAGCAGGGGGAUAAGCGGAAGAAAUUCCGUCUAAUACCGCGUAAUAUCUUUCGGGGGCAUCCCUGAGGGAUUAAAGGAAGUGAUUCCGGCUACGGAUGGGCAUGCGGCGCAUUAGCUAGUCGGCGGGGUAACGGCCCACCGAGGCGACGAUGCGUAGGGGUUCUGAGAGGAAGGUCCCCCACACUGGUACUGAGACACGGACCAGACUCCUACGGGAGGCAGCAGUGAGGAAUAUUGGUCAAUGGGCGAGAGCCUGAACCAGCCAAGUCGCGUGAGGGAAGACGGUCCUAUGGAUUGUAAACCUCUUUUGUCGGGGAGCAAAAAGGCCUCGUGAGGCCACAAGUGAGAGUACCCGAAGAAAAAGCAUCGGCUAACUCCGUGCCAGCAGCCGCGGUAAUACGGAGGAUGCGAGCGUUAUCCGGAUUUAUUGGGUUUAAAGGGUGCGUAGGCGGACUGGAAAGUCAGCGGUAAAAUCGAGAGGCUCAACCUCUUUCCGCCGUUGAAACUGUCGGUCUUGAGUGGGCGAGAAGUAUGCGGAAUGCGUGGUGUAGCGGUGAAAUGCAUAGAUAUCACGCAGAACUCCGAUUGCGAAGGCAGCAUACCGGCGCCCGACUGACGCUGAGGCACGAAAGCGUGGGUAUCGAACAGGAUUAGAUACCCUGGUAGUCCACGCAGUAAACGAUGAAUACUAAUUGUCCGGUCAGAAUGAUGACUGGGUGAUACAGCGAAAGCGUUAAGUAUUCCACCUGGGGAGUACGCCGGCAACGGUGAAACUCAAAGGAAUUGACGGGGGCCCGCACAAGCGGAGGAACAUGUGGUUUAAUUCGAUGAUACGCGAGGAACCUUACCCGGGCUCAAACGUAGAAUGACAGACGGUGAAAGCCGUUCUCCCUUCGGGGCAGUCUACGAGGUGCUGCAUGGUUGUCGUCAGCUCGUGCCGUGAGGUGUCGGCUUAAGUGCCAUAACGAGCGCAACCCCCAUCUACAGUUGCUAACAGGUAAAGCUGAGGACUCUGUGGAGACUGCCGGCGCAAGCUGUGAGGAAGGCGGGGAUGACGUCAAAUCAGCACGGCCCUUACGUCCGGGGCGACACACGUGUUACAAUGGCAGGUACAGCGGGAAGCCAUAUGGCGACAUAGAGCGGAACCCGAAAACCUGUCUCAGUUCGGAUUGGAGUCUGCAACUCGACUCCAUGAAGCUGGAUUCGCUAGUAACCGCGCAUCAGCCACGGCGCGGUGAAUACGUUCCCGGGCCUUGCACACACCGCCCGUCA